rnacentral:rRNA from 1 species
UCUACAGGCUUAACACAUGCAAGUCGAGGGGCAGCAUUUCAGUUUGCUUGCAAACUGGAGAUGGCGACCGGCGCACGGGUGAGUAACACGUAUCCAACCUGCCGAUAACUCGGGGAUAGCCUUUCGAAAGAAAGAUUAAUACCCGAUGGUAUAAUCAGACCGCAUGGUCUUGUUAUUAAAGAAUUUCGGUUAUCGAUGGGGAUGCGUUCCAUUAGGCAGUUGGUGAGGUAACGGCUCACCAAACCUUCGAUGGAUAGGGGUUCUGAGAGGAAGGUCCCCCACAUUGGAACUGAGACACGGUCCAAACUCCUACGGGAGGCAGCAGUGAGGAAUAUUGGUCAAUGGGCGCAGGCCUGAACCAGCCAAGUAGCGUGAAGGAUGACUGCCCUAUGGGUUGUAAACUUCUUUUAUAUGGGAAUAGAGUUUUCCACGUGUGGAAUUUUGUAUGUACCAUAUGAAUAAGGAUCGGCUAACUCCGUGCCAGCAGCCGCGGUAAUACGGAGGAUCCGAGCGUUAUCCGGAUUUAUUGGGUUUAAAGGGAGCGUAGGUGGACAGUUAAGUCAGUUGUGAAAGUUUGCGGCUCAACCGUAAAAUUGCAGUUGAUACUGGCUGUCUUGAGUACAGUAGAGGUGGGCGGAAUUCGUGGUGUAGCGGUGAAAUGCUUAGAUAUCACGAAGAACUCCGAUUGCGAAGGCAGCUCACUGGACUGCAACUGACACUGAUGCUCGAAAGUGUGGGUAUCAAACAGGAUUAGAUACCCUGGUAGUCCACACAGUAAACGAUGAAUACUCGCUGUUUGCGAUAUACAGUAAGCGGCCAAGCGAAAGCAUUAAGUAUUCCACCUGGGGAGUACGCCGGCAACGGUGAAACUCAAAGGAAUUGACGGGGGCCCGCACAAGCGGAGGAACAUGUGGUUUAAUUCGAUGAUACGCGAGGAACCUUACCCGGGCUUAAAUUGCAUUUGAAUAUAUUGGAAACAGUAUAGCCGUAAGGCAAAUGUGAAGGUGCUGCAUGGUUGUCGUCAGCUCGUGCCGUGAGGUGUCGGCUUAAGUGCCAUAACGAGCGCAACCCUUAUCUUUAGUUACUAACAGGUCAUGCUGAGGACUCUAGAGAGACUGCCGUCGUAAGAUGUGAGGAAGGUGGGGAUGACGUCAAAUCAGCACGGCCCUUACGUCCGGGGCUACACACGUGUUACAAUGGGGGGUACAGAAGGCAGCUACCUGGUGACAGGAUGCUAAUCCCAAAAGCCUCUCUCAGUUCGGAUCGAAGUCUGCAACCCGACUUCGUGAAGCUGGAUUCGCUAGUAAUCGCGCAUCAGCCAUGGCGCGGUGAAUACGUUCCCGGGCCUUGUACACACCGCCCGUCAAGCCAUGAAAGCCGGGGGUACCUGAAGUACGUAACCGCAAGGAGCGUCCUAGGGUAAAACUGGUAAUUGGGGCU